CAGCAGCCGCGGUAAUACCGGCGGCCCGAGUGGCGGUCACUAUUAUUGGGCUUAAAGCGUCCGGAGCCGGGUUGGGAAGUCCUCCGGGAAAUCUGGCCGCUUAACGGUCAGAAUGCCGGAGGAUACUCCCAGCCUAGGGAGCGGGAGAGGCCGAGGGGAUUCCCGGAGUAGGGGUGAAAUCCUAUAAUCCCGGGAGGACCACCUGUGGCGAAGGCGCUCGGCUGGAACGCGUCCGACGGUGAGGGACGAAGGCCAGGGGAGCAAACCGGAUUAGAUACCCGGGUAGUCCUGGCUGUAAACGAUGCGGACUUUGUGUCGGACAAGCUAUGAGCUUGUCCGGUGCCGGAGGGAAACCGUUAAGUCCGCCGCCUGGGGAGUACGGCCGCAAGGCUGAAACUUAAAGGAAUUGGCGGG
rnacentral:rRNA from 1 species